ACCCUAGCAACGGUUUUUCCUGUGAUAGUGUUAUAGAGAAUUUCAACUAUUGGGCAGGAGUGACAAUUGUCUCCCUGCCUCCACUACCAUUUUUCUUUUUGUUUUGAGUGUUCUUACCUCUGCUGGACUCAACUGAGCUGCUGAAUCAUUAGAAUGGACACAGUCCAAUGGUAUCUGCUUUUAGUGGAAUCGUUCCUCAGAUAAUCUGUUUUCAUCACAUCAAGAGCCAAGCCAGUCAGUUAACACAGAGGAAAUAUUAAAGGCAAUAUUUUUUCAUUAAGGAAUGAUUGAGACUCCUGGAGCUCAUCUUUGCACAUCUUAGAUCUACGGGGUUUCAUCAGUCUGCAAACCAAGUGCUGGGCUGAAAGCUGGUUUUUCCACACUGGGAUCUGUCUGUGGGUGACCUCUGAGUCAUUUGCUAGAGGCAAAGGCUUCCAUUUUCUUUGCGUAGUGGUAACCAGAGAAGGAUGUGGAUAUUGCUCAAAGAGAAGACAAAAGCUUAAGAGAGCUUCAUGAUUAUGAAUAUAAUAUAUCCUUAAACCAUCAUGAAGCUGUGGAAGACACCACAGUAGUACAUAACUCCCUGAGAAACAGAAGUGGUUUAGCCUUUCAGCUGAUGAUGAUGAAGUGGAUGUUGUUCUCAUUAUUCCUGCCUCAGGAUGUGGUGGACCACCAUCUGCAGAUGCCGUGUAAGUGAUCAUCUUGGCACUGACCCAUAUGCCACCUUUGUAGUCAUGAGUAUUCUAUCCGAGAGA
rnacentral:lncRNA from 12 species